UACGUAGGGGGCGAGCGUUGUCCGGAUUUAUUGGGCGUAAAGAGCUCGUAGGCGGUUUGGUAAGUCGGGUGUGAAAUCUCCACGCUCAACGUGGAGGGGCCACUCGAUACUGCCAUGACUCGAGUCCGGUAGAGGAGUGUGGAAUUCCCGGUGUAGCGGUGAAAUGCGCAGAUAUCGGGAGGAACACCCGUAGCGAAGGCGGCACUCUGGGCCGGAACUGACGCUGAGGAGCGAAAGCGUGGGAGCAAACAGG
rnacentral:rRNA from 1 species